AAAGGUAUAGCUCAGUGGUAGAGUGCAUGCCUAGCAUGCACAAGGUCCUCGGUUCCAUCCCUAGUGCCUCCA
rnacentral:tRNA from 1 species